rnacentral:tRNA from 12 species
GGUGGUAUAGCUCAGUUGGUUAGAGCGCAGCAUUCAUAAUGCUGAUGUCGCAGGUUCAAAUCCCGCUACCACCACCA